GUACUCACUUCGACAACACAUAUGCUAAAAUGGGAAUGAUACGGAGAUUAGCACAGUCCCUGCACAAGGAUGACAUGCAAAUGCGUGAAGCAUUCCAUAUUUUU